GGAGAACUUCCCCAAUCUAGCAAGGCAGGCCAACGUUCAGAUUCAGGAAAUACAGAGAUAUACAUUCUUAACCAUGUUUAGUCGUCAGUCAGGUGCAACCACAAGAGGGGACACAGAAGAGUGACCGGAAAACAAAACGUAUUAUAUUCACAUGUUCGGGAGAGAUAGAGUGACAGCAUGCAACGCAGGGGACCAUGUGAGAGGAGCACCAAUGGCACAGGCUCUACUAAGUAGUGUUACUGAAACAACAGAGGUUUGGUCUAGGUCCUGUUGCUUGCCAUACAGAAAGCCAAUCAGUGAGUCAACCAAUAUUUCCAGGAAAGAAGGCAUUAGUAUGGUGUUGCAGCUGAGGAGAUGGGAGAUCAGUUUCAAAUCCGUCUCCUCAACUGACUAAAAUUAGGAGUUUAUUUAGCAGGGAAGAAGUGUAACCAUGUGAGGUAAAAUGGAAAUUAGAGAGGGGUAAAGAAGAGGAGUUAGUCAACAGGAAGUAGGUGGACAGUUAGGCAAUCACGAUGGGUGAAAGGGUCUGGCAUUUCAAUGUCCAGAUGCUGUCAUCUGAUGAGUUUCAGUGCCUUGAUACUAUCUGGGAGCCCUAUUGGUUGGUUUCCUGGGAAAGGGACUUGGGUAAGACAAAAGUAACAUUCUCAAGUUUUAAGACUGGGAGGAUCAAUUUCUAUGUUCAUUCAAAAGAAACUAUAAACAUCAGUUCUAUGGGACAAUUGAGCUGGUUUCACAGGUGUGGAGUUGAAAGAGCAUAAAGACCCAGCGGCAAGUGGCUUUACUGGGGUUCAGGGUGGUGAACACAAGCAAAAGGUGCAAGACAAUUUCCUUGAUACAUUUGAAUGUCACGAGGCCACAGCCAUGUGAGGGCAAGAAAGGGAGCUUGUAGCAGGGGCUAGUCUUAUCAUGCUGGUAUGCCUGGUUACCUUGGUGGGGUGUUCACAGCCUGUUUGUGUGAAUGUUGAGACAACAGGAAAAUAUAGAGAUUUAAAAUUACAAUAGUCUGUAAAUUUUUUUUCCUAAGUGAUUCAAAAAGUAAGAAAUUUUGAUUUUUUUUUUGUUUUGCAAAGCAUGUAAUCAUUAAAAGCUUUUUCCUUCCUUUAUUUAUAAAAGUCAAUACAUGGUAGUCACAUUUUAAAAUUUCUAUGUCCUUUUAAGUUCUUAAUGAAGUAUAACGUCUGUAGAAAAUUGUGCCCAUAUCGUAAACUUCAGUGGAUUCUAUAAUCAGAAGACACUUGUUUAAUCAGUCAGAUCAAAAACAGUAUAAUGCCAUCAUCCCAGAACAUUCUCAUUUCAGUCACUAGUUAACUACUCACUUGACAUCUAAAACCAAAGGUUAGUGUUACACUUUUUUUGUAUUUAAUAUAAAUGAAAUUAUUCAUUGUGUACAUAGUGUAUAAUUAAUCUCAUUGUGUGACUAUUCCUCAAUUAACUUAUGUCUUCUCCUGUAGCUGGGCAUUUGGGUAGUUUUUAGUUUUAGCUCACAAAUAAUGCUGCUCUGAAUAUUCUCCUGAAUGUCUUUUAUUGAAAAUACUGAUGCACUGCUGUUCGGUUUAGGUAUGUACAUAGGCACGGAAUUGCUUUUUGAAAAUAAGUAUGUUCGCCUUUUGCAGAUACUGUAGAGAGUUUUCUGAAUCAGCCUUCUGCUUAAGUUUUGAGGUUCAAACUUCAAAGCUUGUCAAUUUGGAAUAUGCAGAGUGCUUGAUGCCAAGAAGUAUCAAUUUAGGAUGCCACUUGCCUAAAUACCGAUCAAAUAAUAUUCAAUAACAAAAUGAUACAAACCUACAAAAGGAAGGGCACAGGACAGGAAGAAGUAUGAACAAGAAAAAAAAAAUAGGCUGGGUGCGGUGGCUCACGCCUGUAAUCCCAGCACUUUGGGAGGCUGAGGUAAGCAGAUCAUGAGGUCAGGAGAUUGAGACCAUCCUGGCCAACAGGGUGAACCUCGUCUCUACCAAAAAUACAAAAAUUAGCUGGGUGUGGUGCCGCGCGCUUGUGUCCCAGCUGCUCUGGAGGCUGAAGCAGGAGAAUUGCUUGAAGCCGGGAGGUGGAGGUUGCAGUGAGCCAAGAUCGUGCCACUGCACUCCAGCCUAGUGACAGAGCGAGACUCCGUCUCAAAAACAAACAAACAAAAAAAAAAAACUGGCCCAAAACUGAUAAAAAUGCAGUCUGAAUAAGUAGAGCAAAAGGCGCAGAAAAUGUUUCCUCUUAGAAGAGGCCUUGAAGACUUUAUAUCUGAGAACUAAAUAUAGCAAUUUUAUUAAGUUAUAUAUAAUAAUAUUGAGAUUUUAAAAUACAGUGAUGGAAAAACUAGAACACUUAAAGAUAGAACAGCCAACUUCUCAUCAGAAAUAUGAAAGUUAUAAGGCAAAUAGUUUUCACAGUAUAGUUCUAGAACCAGCAAUAUUGGCAUCACUUUGAACAUGAUUAGAAAUUCAAACUCUCAAGACCUACCCAGAUCCACUGAUUUGGAAACUAUAUCAGUAAUCUGGUUUUUUUAAUAAUUUUUUUAAUUUGUAAUUUUUUAAUUAUUAUUUUUGUAGAGACGAGGUCUUGCUGAGUUGCCUAAGCUGGUCUUGAACUCCUGGACUCAAGUGAUCCUCCUACCUCGGCCUCCCAAAAGCAGCAAUCUAUGUUUUAACAGACUCUCCCUGUGAUUCUCAUGUGUGUUUAUGUUUGAGAACCACUGCUUCAAGACAAUGAGGUCCUUAUCUACCUGCUAGAGCCGGGGAUGUUUACUAAUGGACUGAUAUAUUACCUAAGAUUUCGGCUAUGAUUUAAUACAGAUAUGAGAAGAAAUAUGAUGUUCAUUUUAAGAUGACUCAGAUAGUGUUAACUAGGGAUGGAUUAAAUUGAGAGCCCAGGCUGGAGUGCAGUGGCGUGAUCUUGGCUCACUGCAAGUUCCCAUCUCCAGAGUUCACACCAUUCUGCUGCCUCAGACUCCGGAGUAGCUGGGACUCAGGAGCACGCCACCACGCUCGGCUAAUUUUUUUGUGUUUUUUUUAGUAGAGAUGGGGUUUCACCGUGUUAGCCAGGAUGGUCUCGAUCUCCUGACCUUGUGAUCCGCCCGCCUCAGCCUCUCAAAGUGCUGGCAUUAGAGGCGUGAGCCACUGCACCCUGCCUAAAUUGAAAGUUUACGGAAUCUGGGCUGGGCACGGUGGCUUAUGCCUGUAAUCCCAGUACUUUGGGAGGCUGAGGCAGGCGGAUCACUUUAGGUCAAGAGCUUGAGACCAGCCUGGCCAAUAUGGUGAGACCCCGUCUCUGCUAAAAAAAUAUAAAAAUUAGCUGGGCAUGGUGGUCACCUGUAAUCCCAGAUACUUGAGAGGCUGAGGAAGGAGAAUCGCUUGAACCCAGGAGGUGGAGGUUGCCGUGAGCCGAGAUUGCACCACUGCACUCCAGCCUAGGCAACAAAGUGAGACUCUGUCUCUAAAUAAAUAAAUAAACAAAUAAAAAGGUUUACUGAAUCUGAAAUGUUUGUGAUCCAGGCAAAAAGUGCUAAAUAUCUAAUACAGGGAAGUAAUUGGGAGCUCUGUUCUUUCUGCUCAAAUUUUCUGUUAACAUAAACUGCUCUAACAAAUAAUAUAUUACUUUUGAAAAUGUACUGUAUUUUAAUCUGCUGUGGGUUGCCUUUAACAACAUGAAUGGAUACUUAAUAAGAAAAUGUCAUUUUAAUCAUUUAUUGGCUUUUUAAAAAAUAUAUAUGUAAUAGAAAUUUAUAUCCUAAAAUAUAUCCUUUUGCUUUAGAAUGAUGGCAGAGCUAUAUAACUUUGGCAAAUUUGGGUGGAUUAUAUUCGAAUCACUAAUUGCUAAUACUAAAUUAUCUCACUAGACCUUUUAACACUGUGUUUGUUUUUUGUUUUUGUUUUUUGUCUUUUUUUGCAUAUUGCUUUUAUUUUGCAGAAAAUGUUUUGCUGAUUGUCUUUGGCUAUUUUGUCAGAAGAAAAAUAUAACUGUUAUAAGUUUAACAAUACAAGAUACAAUUACAUGUGCUCAAAAUAAACUCAUUCUAAUGGACUGAAUGGUGAAAUUUCCAUUUCAACUAAAAUCUGUUGUUCUACACAAUGGAUUGAUUAUAUCCUUAACAGCUCAAUUACUAUCUGAAAAGUACUCUAAAGCUAUAAGAAAUAGAAUUAAGUGUGAUUUCAUGUCACUAAAGUAAGAUCAGUGGAGUUUAUAAAUGUUAAUAUGUCCAAGUCAUCUGUAUGCUAUUAUUAGAAAUAAAAAAUAAAUUUCUGGACCCUAGCAAAUAUAUGUUUAUAAUGAAUUAAUAAUAACAAAUUAGGC
rnacentral:lncRNA from 10 species